CACGCNGUAAACGAUGAGUGCUAGGUGUUAGACCCUUUCCGGGGUUUAGUGCCGCAGCUAACGCAUUAAGCACUCCGCCUGGGGAGUACGACCGCAAGGUUGAAACUCAAAGGAAUUGACGGGGGCCCGCACAAGCGGUGGAGCAUGUGGUUUAAUUCGAAGCAACGCGAAGAACCUUACCAGGUCUUGACAUCCCUCUGACCGCUCUAGAGAUAGAGUUUUCCUUCGGGACAGAGGUGACAGGUGGUGCAUGGUUGUCGUCAGCUCGUGUCGUGAGAUGUUGGGUUAAGUCNNNNNACGAGCGCAACCCCUAUUGUUAGUUGCCAUCAUUCAGUUGGGCACUCUAGCGAGACUGCCGGUAAUAAACCGGAGGAAGGUGGGGAUGACGUCAAAUCAUCAUGCCCCUUAUGACCUGGGCUACACACGUGCUACAAUGGCUGGUACAACGAGUCGCAAGCCGGUGACGGCAAGCUAAUCUCUUAAAGCCAGUCUCAGUUCGGAUUGUAGGCUGCAACUCGCCUACAUGAAGUCGGAAUCGCUAGUAAUCGCGGAUCAGCACGCCGCGGUGAAUACGUUCCCGGGCCUNG
rnacentral:rRNA from 1 species